rnacentral:rRNA from 1 species
UACGUAGGGGGCAAGCGUUAUCCGGAUUUACUGGGUGUAAAGGGAGCGUAGACGGCGGCGCAAGUCUGGAGUGAAAGCCCGUGGCCCAACCACGGGACUGCUCUGGAAACUGUGCGGCUGGAGUGCGGGAGGGGCAGGCGGAAUUCCUAGUGUAGCGGUGAAAUGCGUAGAUAUUAGGAGGAACACCGGCGGCGAAGACGGCCUGCUGGACCGUGACUGACGUUGAGGCUCGAAAGCGUGGGGAGCAAACAGG